AGUCUCUUAAUUCAUUGGUAGAAUGCCUAUCUGAUACGUAGGUCGUAGAUGGUUCGAUUCCAUCAGGGACUACCA
rnacentral:tRNA from 1 species